UUCUUGUAUGAAAGGAGGGAAAGUUAGCAUUCUCCUUAAGAAGGAUGCAAGAGGUCCUAGUAUACCAACUCCGUUCUGUUGAACUCUCCCAAGCAGUUAAAAGAACGCUGAGCACAGUGAACACUCAAAAAAUACGAUUGAUAUUGGCCUUGACAGCAGACAUACAGUUAAGGUAUCUAAUCAAGAUUUUUU
rnacentral:ncRNA from 1 species